rfam:Triticum aestivum genome assembly, contig: Triticum_aestivum_CS42_TGACv1_scaffold_577033_7BL
UUUAUACUCCCUCCGUCCGGAAAUACUUGUUGGAGAAAUAGAUGAAAAUGAGUGUAUCUAGGACUAAAUUGCGUCUAGACACAUCCAUUCAUCCGACAAGUAUUUUUGGACGGAGGGAGUACAAC